GAACCAAAUCCGAAACAAUGUUAGACUACUCAGUUGAGCCCUAACAGUAUUAUUUUGCAACUAGUACUUUUUAUCAUUCUAUCGAACAAAGAGUAAAACCUAAUUAAAUUGUUCUAUUAUGCCCCGAGAGUGUAAAUUUAGAACGAAUCGCUGUCAACGUUCACAGGAACAAAAACCGGAACAACAUGAGAGUACUGAGUUGCGCCAUAAUAGUAUAACAUUGCAACGAGUACUUUUUCUCAUUCUAUCGAAUAAGGAGUAAAAGUUUUCUAUUAUGCCCCGAGAGAGUAAAUUUAGAACGAAAUGACGUCAACGUUCACAAGAACCAAAACCGAAACAACGUUAGACUACUCAGUUGAGCCCACAUAUUAUAAUUUUGCAACUAGUACGUUUUCUCAUUCAAUCGAUCAUAGAGCAAAACCUAAUUAUAUUGUUCUAUUUUGCCCCGAGAGUGUAAAUUUGAAACGAAUCGUUGUCAACGUUCACAAGAAUCAAAACCUGAACAACGUUAGUCUACUCAGUGGAGCCCUAACGGUAUAACAUUGCAACUAGUACUUUUUCUCAUUCAAUCGAACAAAGAGUAAAACCUAAUUAUAUUGUUCUAUUAUGGCCCAAGAGUGUAAAUUUGGAACGAAUCGAUGUCAACUUUCGCAAGACCAAAAGCGGAACAACAUUAGACAACUCAGUUUCGACCUAACAGUAUAACGUUGCAACAAGUAGUUUUUCUCAUUCUAUCGAACAAAGAGUAAAACCUAAUUAAAUUGUUCUAUUAUACCCCGAGAGUGUAAAUUUGGAACGAAUCGAUGUCAAUAUUCCCAAGAACCAAAACCGGAACAACAUUAGACUACUCAGUUGCUCCAUGACAGUAUAACUUUGCAACGAGUACUUUUUCUCAUUCUAUCAUACAAGGAGUAAAAGCUCUCUAUUAUGCCCCGAGAGUGUAAAUUUGGAAGGAAUCGAUGUCAACGUACACAAGAACCAAAACAGGAACGAGGUUAGACUUCUCAGUUGAGCCCUAACUGUAUAACUUUGCAAC
rnacentral:lncRNA from 1 species